rnacentral:tRNA from 1 species
UUUAAUAUGGCAGAGUAGUGCAAUGAACUUAAGAUUCAUUUAUAAAAUUCUUUAUUUAAAUUUUUAUUAAAA